rnacentral:rRNA from 1 species
GACAGAGGGUGCAAACGUUGUUCGGAAUUACUGGGCGUAAAGCGCGUGUAGGCUGCUCGGAAAGUCGGAUGUGAAAGCCCUGGGCUCAACCUAGGAAGUGCAUUCGAAACUUCUGAGCUGGAGUGCUGGAGAGGAAGGCGGAAUUCUCGGUGUAGAGGUGAAAUUCGUAGAUAUCGAGAGGAACACCGGUGGCGAAGGCGGGUUGCUGGGCCGACACUGACGCUGAUGCGCGAAAGCCAGGGGAGCGAACGGG